GGCUUAAUUUGACUCAACACGGGAAACCUCACCCGGCCCAGACAUGGAAGGGAUUGACAGACUGAUAGCUGUUUCUCGAUCCUGUGGGUGGUGGUGCAUGGCUGUUCUUAGCUGGUGGAGCUCAUGACCGCACAACACAGCUUUUCUCCACACAGUAAUAAUUUCUUUAGCUAUGAUAUUUGAUGACGCUAAUAUGUGCAAUUCAUAAGAGAACAAUAAAACAAAUAGAAAAAAAACAAUCAGAAUCAUUCAUUUGUGCUGCCUAUUAAAUUUCAUGACUUCAC
rnacentral:ncRNA from 1 species